rnacentral:snRNA from 1 species
GUGCUCGCUUCGGCAGCACAUAUACUAAAAUUGGAACGAGAAACGAAUACAGAGAAGAUUAGCAUGCCCCUGCAACAAGGAUGACACGCCAAAUUCGUGAAAGCGUUCAUAUUAAA